rnacentral:rRNA from 1 species
UAUCUCUGUAGAGUCUGCAUAUCAAUAAGCGGAGGAAAAGAAACUAACUAGGAUUCCCCUAGUAACGGUGAGUGAAGCGGGAAGAGCUCAAAUUUGAAAUCUUAAAGGGUUCUACCUUGACGAAUUGUAGUUUAAAGAAGUGUUUUCUGUUGAGGUUUUGGUAAAAGUUCUUUGGAAUAGGACAUCAUAGAGGGUGAGAAUCCCGUAUUCGACCAUUACUUCCAGCUUUGUGAUACACUUUCAAGGAGUCGGAUUGUUUGGGAAUGCAGUCCAAAAUGGGUGGUAAAUUUCAUCUAAAGCUAAAUAUUGGCGAGAGACCGAUAGCGAACAAGUACCGUGAGGGAAAGAUGAAAAGAACUUUGAAAAGAGAGUUAAACAGUACGUGAAAUUGUCAAAAGGGAAGCGUUUGACACCAGUGUCGUUUUCUCGAAAAUCAAUUAAAAAAAGUUGGAUUUUGUAUUGUUAUGACCUUAUCAGCUUACUGUACUCUUUUCUUGUCUUUUUUAAUGCACUUUUCGUUUAACAAGUCAACAUCAAUUUCUUUUGUUGUAAAAGAGUCAUUGGAAGGUGGCUUUCACUUCGGUGAAAGUGUUUACUAGCCUUUGGCUUCUGCAAUCGGAGAGAUUGAGGUCUGCAGCGUAGAUCCUCGGGGCUAGAUACGUAGAUGCUAAGUUAUAGUUUUUUAUAGACAACUUGUUGACUAUAAUUAAUCAUGUAGCUUACUCGUUUGCGCUAUUUUACCUACGCUUAGGAUGUUGACGAUCAGCUGAGCGCG